rnacentral:lncRNA from 1 species
UUUGAAUGCUAAAUAUAAAUGUACUGUAUUUUAUUAAAUUUAAUAAAUUCGGAGUUCAUUUUCAUUUCUCUAUUACACGUGUUUUCAAUAAACCGCCAACCCUGAUUAGCCACCAAAAUUGUCCCCAAACAGAUGAUGGCAUCUUUUCAGGUUUUGACUGUAUAUUUCUCAUUCAUCUCUUUCACACAACUAAUGAUGGUUUUUUUACAUUAUGAAAUAAAAAAUACAUAUGUUAGUAUCCUUGAAAAUGAAAUUAAAAAUUUGCUUUUAAUUAAUUUUAUUGUCACUCUUAAUAAGCAGCACAAUAUGUGCUUAUAAUCCAAUAUAUAAUAAAUAUUUUCCCUG